CAUUAUUUCAGUUGGAGCUUCAGAAAACAUACUGCAACUACGUUUCACUUUAUAAUCUUGAAGCAAUUAGAAAGCGCACGAAACUAAAACAGAACGAUAGCCGCAGUACACUUCCAUUACGUCAUAGCAUGAGCACUCGGAGUGAAUAAAGGAACGUACCUACAGUGUCUUUAGUAUACAUAAGCCAUGUUCCAAAAUUAACUGGAAGUCUGUUAUUGAAAUGACUGACUUUUACCGUUUCGAAAUUUAAAUUUUUAUUUAAAUAUUUAUUAUCUAGUACUGGAUUUCGGAACGGAAAAGCAGUGUAAAGCAAUAAAAAAGUGUACAUAAAAAAAUCAAAACAUAACCAAUAUGGAUCAACAUAUGUUAUUCAAUGCUAUUAGAAUAAUAAUCGAAAACGAUUCAAGUGAUAAUAAUUCUAAUGAUGAUAUGAUGUUACAAAUUAUUAAUAAAUAAGAUUGAUAGUAAACAUGGAUCACUGUUUUUAAAACCACGCAUACAAAAUUAUAUUCAAAACGUAGUUUCUAUAUUAACAGAUGCAAACUUUAAAUCACAUUUUGGAUAAGAAAAAAUAUCUCGAGAAACUUUCCAUUGGUCCUAUUAUUAACCAUAAUAGGACCAAAGUUAGAAAAAAAGUCAAAUCCUGAUCUGCAGAUACAUAAUACUUGGUCGCCUUCCCCAUUAAUUUGUAAAGGCCAGAAAUGAACCAGAAGUCACACGUAGAAUUUUGGAAAAUGCAAAAAUUGCCGGCAUCUUCCAAUAUGUCCAAUGAUACAUCAAAAAAAA